rnacentral:rRNA from 1 species
AAGGAUCAUUAAAAGUAAUAUGUAUUCUCACGAAUAUACAUUAUAAACCCAUCUGUGUAUCUUACCCGUUGCUUCCGCGAGGCAGUGAUCUCGGUCACCUCCGAACGACGGCGAAAGCCGUCCGAACGGGGAGCACUCGCGGGAGGUAUACAUCAAACCCUUGCAUUUUUUAUGUCGUCUGUCUGAACUGUUUAUAACAAAUGUUAAAACUUUCAACAACGGAUCUCUUGGUUCUCGCAUCGAUGAAGAACGCAGCGAAAUGCGAUAAGUAGUGUGAAUUGCAGAAUUCAGUGAAUCAUCGAAUCUUUGAACGCACAUUGCGCCUCCUGGUAUUCCGGGAGGCAUGCCUGUUCGAGCGUCAUUAAAAACCACUCAAGCUCUUUUGCUUGGUAUUGGGAGAGGAGCGCACUUCGUGGCCCUCCCUUCCGAAAUUCAAUGGCGGAAAGCCCCAUGUGCCCCGGCGUAGUAAGUUUUCUUUCGCUUGGAACGUGAGGUGAUCCUGCCGCAAACCCCCAAUUCUUUCUAGGUUGACCUCGGAUCAGGUAGGGAUACCCGCUGAACUUAAGCAUAUCAAUAAGCGGAGGAAAAGAAACCAACAGGGAUUGCCUUAGUAACUGCGAGUGAAGCGGCAAAAGCUCAAAUUUGAAAUCUGGCGUCUUCGGCGUCCGAGUUGUAAUUUGGAGGGAUAUCUUCGGGGAUGGCGCCGUCCUAAGUUCCUUGGAACAGGACGUCAUAGAGGGUGAGAAUCCCGUGCCUGGAUGGCUGUCCAUCUCCAUGUGAAGUGUCUCCGACGAGUCGAGUUGUUUGGGAAUGCAGCUCAAAAUGGGUGGUAAAUUUCAUCUAAAGCUAAAUAUUGGCGAGAGACCGAUAGCGCACAAGUAGAGUGAUCGAAAGAUGAAAAGCACUUUGAAAAGAGAGUUAAAAAGUACGUGAAAUUGUUGAAAGGGAAGCGCUUGCGACCAGACUCGAUCUUUGGUGAUCAGCCGGGCUUCUGUCCGGUGCACUUGCCACCGAUCGGGCCAGCAUCGGUUCCGAGGGCGGGAUAAAAGGUUGGGGAAUGUAGCUUCUCUCGGGGAGUGUUAUAGCCCCGAUCAUAAUGCCGCCAUUCGGGACCGAGGACCGCGCUUCGGCUAGGAUGCUGGCGUAAUGGUCUUAAGCGACC